GAUGAAGAACGUAGCGAAAUGCGAUAAGUAAUGUGAAUUGCAGAAUUCAGUGAAUCAUCGAAUCUUUGAACGCAUCUUGCGCUCCUUGGUAUUCUGAGGAGCAUGCCUGUUUGAGUGUCAUUAAAUUCUCAACUACACUGACUUUGAAUUGGUGUGGCUUGGAUUUGGGGGGAAAAUUGUUGUGGGCUUUUUGUAUAGUCUGCUCCCCUGAAAUUGAUUAGCGGUACCUUUGUGGAACUGUCUACAGGUGUGAUAAUUAUCUACAUCUUAGACAUCUGCUGGAAUGCUGCUUUCUAAACCUUACUUGUAUUGACAAUCUUGACCUCAAAUCAGGUGGGACUACCCGCUGAACUUAAGCAUAUCAAUAAGCGGAGGA
rnacentral:misc_RNA from 1 species